rnacentral:rRNA from 1 species
GGGUUGUGAGGUUAAGCGACUAAGCGUACACGGUGGAUGCCCUGGCAGUCAGAGGCGAUGAAGGACGUGCUAAUCUGCGAUAAGCGCCGGUAAGGUGAUAUGAACCGUUAUAACCGGCGAUUUCCGAAUGGGGAAACCCAGUGUGAUUCGUCACACUAUCAUUAACUGAAUCCAUAGGUUAAUGAGGCGAACCGGGGGAACUGAAACAUCUAAGUACCCCGAGGAAAAGAAAUCAACCGAGAUUCCCCCAGUAGCGGCGAGCGAACGGGGAGGAGCCCAGAGCCUGAAUCAGCAUGUGUGUUAGUGGAAGCGUCUGGAAAGGUGCGCGAUACAGGGUGACAGCCCCGUACACAAAAGCGCAUGUGCUGUGAGCUCGAUGAGUAGGGCGGGACACGUGGUAUCCUGUCUGAAUAUGGGGGGACCAUCCUCCAAGGCUAAAUACUCCUGACUGACCGAUAGUGAACCAGUACCGUGAGGGAAAGGCGAAAAGAACCCCGGCGAGGGGAGUGAAAAAGAACCUGAAACCGUGUACGUACAAGCAGUGGGAGCACCCUUCGGGGUGUGACUGCGUACCUUUUGUAUAAUGGGUCAGCGACUUAUAUUCUGUAGCAAGGUUAACCGUAUAGGGGAGCCGGAGGGAAACCGAGUCUUAACCGGGCGUUAAGUUGCAGGGUAUAGACCCGAAACCCGGUGAUCUAGCCAUGGGCAGGUUGAAGGUUGGGUAACACUAACUGGAGGACCGAACCGACUAAUGUUGAAAAAUUAGCGGAUGACCUGUGGCUGGGGGUGAAAGGCCAAUCAAACCGGGAGAUAGCUGGUUCUCCCCGAAAGCUAUUUAGGUAGCGCCUCGUGAAUUCAUCUCCGGGGGUAGAGCACUGUUUCGGCUAGGGGGCCAUCCCGGCUUACCAACCCGAUGCAAACUGCGAAUACCGGAGAAUGUUAUCACGGGAGACACACGGCGGGUGCUAACGUCCGUCGUGAAGAGGGAAACAACCCAGACCGCCAGCUAAGGUCCCAAAGUCAUGGUUAAGUGGGAAACGAUGUGGGAAGGCCCAGACAGCCAGGAUGUUGGCUUAGAAGCAGCCAUCAUUUAAAGAAAGCGUAAUAGCUCACUGGUCGAGUCGGCCUGCGCGGAAGAUGUAACGGGGCUAAACCAUGCACCGAAGCUGCGGCAGCGAACGUAUCACUUAAAGCGAUUCAGCGGGUUACGAUUGACGGAGCGAAGCGACGUCAAAGCGUAUACAAAGUCGAGUCGGUUUAAGGAUACGUUCGUUGGGUAGGGGAGCGUUCUGUAAGCCCGUGAAGGUGGCCUGUGAGGGUUGCUGGAGGUAUCAGAAGUGCGAAUGCUGACAUAAGUAACGAUAAAGCGGGUGAAAAGCC